CAGUCGCCGCGGGAAUACGUAGGGUGCGAGCGCUAAUCGGAAUUACUGGGCGUAAAGCGUGCGCAGGCGGUUUUAUAAGACAGGCGUGAAAUCCCCGGGCUCAACCUGGGAACGGCGCUUGUGACUGCAAAGCUAGAGUGCGGCAGAGGGGGAUGGAAUUCCGCGUGUAGCAGUGAAAUGCGUAGAUAUGCGGAGGAACACCGAUGGCGAAGGCAAUCCCCUGGGCCUGCACUGACGCUCAUGCACGAAAGCGUGGGGAGCAAACAGGAUUAGAUACCCGCGUAGUCCCUGUCUCUUAUAC
rnacentral:rRNA from 1 species